rnacentral:ncRNA from 1 species
CACCUGGUUGAUCCUGCCAGUAGUCAUAUGCUUGUCUCAAAGAUUAAGCCAUGCAUGUCUAAGUAUAAGCUUUAAACGGCGAAACUGCGAAUGGCUCAUUAAAACAGUUAUAGUUUAUUUGGUGAUCGAUUACUAUUUGGAUAACCGUAGUAAUUCUAGAGCUAAUACAUGCGUCAAGGCCCGACUUCGGAAGGGCUGCGUUUAUUAGAUACAGAACCAACCUAGGCUCCGCCUAGUCCUUGUUGGUGAUUCAUAAUAACCCGGCGAAUCGCACGGCUUGUCCGGCGAUGGACCAUUCAAGUUUCUGACCUAUCAGCUAUGGACGGUAGGGUAUUGGCCUACCGUGGCGUUGACGGGUAACGGGGAAUUAGGGUUCGAUUCCGGAGAGGGAGCCUGAGAAACGGCUACCACAUCUAAGGAAGGCAGCAGGCGCGCAAAUUACCCAAUCUUGAUACAGGGAGGUAGUGACAAGAAAUAACAAUACAGGGCAAUUCUGUCUUGUAAUUGGAAUGAGUAGAUUUUAAAUCUCUUUACGAGUAUCAAUUGGAGGGCAAGUCUGGUGCCAGCAGCCGCGGUAAUUCCAGCUCCAAUAGCGUAUAUUAAAGUUUGUUGCGGUUAAAAAGCUCGUAGUUGGAUUUCUGCCUUGGGCGACCGAUCCACCUUUCCUACGGG